rnacentral:lncRNA from 1 species
GGGCAACGCUUCCUAGGGCCCAGUCUGGUCCUGGCCUCCUGGGAGAUUUUUCAGUUCCCCACCCCUUCGGGAGUGUCCCAACUUUCCCAUCCCCCGCUCCCAAACUGGGAACUGCCUGGGCCUCUUCUUCUCUGGUUUGGGAUCCCCUUCAGCCUUCCUCCUGCCUCUCCAGUCCCCACCCAUGCUCCUCCUGAGUCGAGUCUCAGCGCCCAACUGACUCCUUCCAUUCCUUUCUCACCUUCUGUUCCUCACCUCCAGUCCUCAUCCUCUUGCACUCUGUACCUCCAUUCACCUCCUCUGCCUCUCCUGUCCACAUGCACCGGCCUCUGCCUCUCCUGCCCCCAUUCACCUCCUCUGUCCCUCCUGUCCCCAUUCACCUCCUCCUCUGCCUCUUCUGUCCACAUACACCCGCCUCUGCCUCUCCUGCCCCCAUUCAUCUCCUCUGUCCCUCCUGCCCCCAUUCUCUUCCUCUGCCUCUGGGGCCCCCAUUCACCUCCUCUGUCCCUCCUGCCCACAUUCUCUUCCUCUGCCACUCGGGCCCCCAUUCACCUCCUCCUCUGCCUCUCCUGCCCCCAUUCACCUCCUCUGCCUCUCCUGCCCCCAUUCAUCUCCUCUGUCCCUCCUGCCCCCAUUCUCUUCCUCUGCCUCUCGGGCCCCCAUUCACCUCCUCUGUCCCUCCUGCCCACAUUCUCUUCCUCUGCCUCUCGGGCCCCCAUUCACCUCCUCUGUCCCUCCUGCCCACAUUCACCCUCCUUCUGUCCCCAAUCACUUCCUCUGCCUCUCCUACCCCCAUUCACCUCCUCUGUCCCUUCUGCCCACAUUCACCCUCCUUCUGUCCCCAUUCACCUCCUCUGCCUCUCUAGCCCCCACUCACCUUCCUCCUGCCCCCUACCUCCCUCUCUCUGCCCCAAGCCAGUUCAGACAGCCGUGACAACAGCUCCCCGGACGGCAGCGCGGGUCCCUUACCGGGCGCGGCAGGCCUGCGGCGGCCCGGCGGCCCUCGCACGGCGGGGCAGCGCCCGCGGUCCGGUGUGGGGACGUGGCCGGCAGCGGAGCAGCGCGGACCGCAGCCAGCACGGCUCGGAGCUGCCACCCCAGCUGGGGCCCCGCCCGGUCCGCCCCGGAAGUGACGUCACGGGAGGGCGGGGCCGGGCGGCCGCGGCCGGAGUCGGGAACGGCCCGGCGGUGCCUGGCUCCGCCAGCUGCGAGCCGGAAGCUGGGGGCGUGGCCGAGCUCAGGCCCCGCCCACCGCGGGGCGGCUCUGGCUCCGUCCAGCUCGCGGCCGGAAGCGGCUAUUUCGGACUGGGGUCUGGCGGAAGUGGGAAGUGGUGGGCUCGGCCGGCCGCCUGCGCGCGUGGCCUUGAGGCGACUUGGAGCCCCGGGGCUGUGCCUGGGGAGCUCAGUCGUACCCGGACGGCGCCGCAGGGGGCGGUGUCCGAGGGAGUGACCCCUGCCACAUCCCUGUCCCCCUCCCUCGGGCUUGAUCCAGCCCCUGGGGGCGGGCGCUGGGGCUCCACGUGGUGGGGAAUAGCGGGGAUGGCAGCUCAAGUGUUUUGA